rnacentral:sRNA from 1 species
UAGGUCUUAAUGUAAGUAAUGUAGG